GAUGAACGCUGGCGGCGUGCUUAACACAUGCAAGUCGAACGAGGUCCAUGGAGCUUGCUCCGGAAGACCUAGUGGCGAACGGGUGCGUAACACGUGAGAAACCUGCCCCGAUCUCUGGAAUAACAGUUGGAAACGACUGCUAAUACCGGAUGCCAUCGCACCGUCUCAUGGCGGAGUGAUGAAAGAUUUAUCGGAUUGGGAGGGUCUCGCGGCCUAUCAGCUAGUUGGAGAGGUAACGGCUCACCAAGGCAUCGACGGGUAGCUGGUCUGAGAGGAUGAUCAGCCACACUGGAACUGAGACACGGUCCAGACUCCUACGGGAGGCAGCAGUGGGGAAUCUUGCACAAUGGGCGAAAGCCUGAUGCAGCAACGCCGCGUGCGGGAAGAAGGCCCUANGGUUGUAAACCGCUUUCNGUAGGGAAGAAAAUGACGGUACCU
rnacentral:rRNA from 1 species